GUGGGGAAUAUUGGGCAAUGGGGGAAACCCUGACCCAGCAACGCCGCGUGAGGGAAGAAGGUUUUCGGAUUGUAAACCUCUGUCCUUGGUGACGAAGGAAGUGACGGUAACCAAGGAGGAAGCCCCGGCUAACUACGUGCCAGCAGCCGCGGUAAUACGUAGGGGGCAAGCGUUGUCCGGAAUGACUGGGCGUAAAGGGCGUGUAGGCGGCCGAUUAAGUCUGGAGUGAAAGUCCUGCUUUCAAGGUGGGAAUUGCUUUGGAGACUGGUUGGCUUGAGUGCGGAAGAGGUAAGUGGAAUUCCCAGUGUAGCGGUGAAAUGCGUAGAGAUUGGGAGGAACACCAGUGGCGAAGGCGACUUACUGGACCGUUGUUGACGCUGAGGUGCGAAAGCGUGGGGAGCAAACAGGAUUAGAUACCCCGGUAGUCC
rnacentral:rRNA from 1 species